UAAAUGAUCAGAAUGAAAGAAAAAAAACAAGCAGUUGCAUUUAGACUUCUAGCACCGGGACCUUAUCAGCACUGAAUAUCCAUGCUUGAAAUCAUUUAGACCGUUUCCUGUCUUUUGUGCAGCACUUGUCUGCAUUAGCCCCAAGAGGAGCAUUUCUACAGGCCUCCAUGCAUUAAUGAAGCCAUCUUGGCCCUGCUUUAAAGAGAGACCAUUAAUACACUGUUAAGACUACAUUCCGGGCAUGAUUUAAGGAGGACGGCGAGACUGCACUCCGGAGGAAAGGUUUUUAUGGAUGGAGGAGGCAUAUAGGGAGAGGGCCAGGUCUCUCCAAAAGCAUUUCAAACAGAGAGGAACAGGCGUCUGGUCUGACUAUUUGGGAGGCCUUCAGAUUGAUUUUUCCUUAAGGGUGAAACCUCACUAAAGACAAUUUCCCUCAAAAGACCUGAGUGAAGACGACCCGCUGGACGUGUGGGAGAACGGUGAUCUUUUUAUGGCCAGAGGGCAGACUUCACAUAGAGAGCAGCAAUUAACACGCAGGUAAUCGAUUUUCUGGCGAGGAGGUUUGUGAGUCCUCUUAACAGCACCCUGUGAGAAAAGCACUCAGUAUGAACAACAGGGACUUAAAGGGAUAGUUCACCCCUCAUGUUGUUCCAAACCAACAAAACAUUCAUUCAUUCAUUAAUCCAUUUGGAAAAGAAGACGCAGAAUGAAAGUCAUACUGGUUUGGAUCAGAGUUAUUAUGGUUUAUAACUGAAACUAUCCCUCCCAGGCUCCCUGCUGAAAAACAAAACAGCUAAAAUCAGCCUACGCUGCUUGGCUGGUUUUAGCUGGUCUUCCAGCCUGGCUUUAGUUGGUCAUAGCAUUAAAAAAAACUUUAACUUAUUUCAUAGAGUUAAAAAACUUAUUUUAUUUUUCACAAAAUUUCUCAUUUUUAUUUAGUUUAUUUUCAUGUACUAAAAUAACUAAAAGUAUAUAUAUCUAUCUAUCUAUCUAUCUAUCUAU
rnacentral:lncRNA from 12 species